rnacentral:rRNA from 1 species
UGGCACUUUUUAAUCCAUAUCCACCUUGUGUGCAAUGUCAGUCGAUCUUCUUCAUGGAGAUCGACCAAACAUCAACCCUUAUUUUUUAACUCUUUGUCUGAAAAAUAUUAUGAAUAAACAAUUCAAAAUACAACUUUCAACAACGGAUCUCUUGGCUCUCGCAUCGAUGAAGAACGCAGCGAAAUGCGAUACGUAAUGUGAAUUGCAGAAUUCAGUGAAUCAUCGAAUCUUUGAACGCAUAUUGCGCUCUUUGGUAUUCCGAAGAGCAUGCUUGUUUGAGUAUCAGUAAACACCUCAAAGCUUUUGGAUUUUUUAAUCGAAAAGCUUUGGACUUGAGCAAUCCCAACACCAAUCUUUUUGAGAUCGGUGGCGGGUUGCUUGAAAUGCAGGUGCAGCUGGACAUUCUCCUGAGCUAAAAGCAUAUUCAUUUAGUCCCGUCAAACGGAUUAUUACUUUUGCUGCAGCUAACAUAAAGGGAGUUUGACCGUAUUGGCUGACUGAUGCAGGAUUUCACAAGGGUCGGCAACGAUUCUUGUUAAACUCGAUCUCAAAUCAAGUAAGACUACCCGCUGAACUUAAGCAUAUCAAUAAGGCGGAGGAA